AUCUCCUUCAUUCCCAAUCUCUUCUCUUUCUCUUCGAGCAUCUCCGCAACAACAACAACAACACCACCGCAACAACAACAACAACAACAACAACAACAACAACACCGCAAAGCCGCCACCACCACAUCAUCACCACCGCAAAGUUUGACGGCCGCCGCAAAUCCCACCGACAUCAACAUCAACAACAAUUUCUGGGUAUAAUAUACGAGUUCGUGAGUUAUCUUCGUCGAAAAUUGGUGGCCGAUACUUUGCUUCUGCAAUUCAGCUACUGAGCUCGUUCGUCGAAUCCAUUUGGUUUUUUUUUGGGCAAGUGUAAAACUACUGAUUAUAAAUUUCAAUUAUAUUAUGUAUUAAUGUAUUAUGUAACAUUUUGGUGAUUAUGAAUUUCAAUUAUAUUUGGUGUGUUAUUACUGAUUA